GAUGAACGCUGGCGGCGUGCCUAAUACAUGCAAGUCGAGCGAACAGACGAGGAGCUUGCUCCUCUGACGUUAGCGGCGGACGGGUGAGUAACACGUGGAUAACCUACCUAUAAGACUGGGAUAACUUCGGGAAACCGGAGCUAAUACCGGAUAAUAUAUUGAACCGCAUGGUUCAAUAGUGAAAGACGGUUUUGCUGUCUCUUAUAGAUGGAUCCGCGCCGCAUUAGCUAGUUGGUAAGGUAACGGCUUACCAAGGCAACGAUGCGUAGCCGACCUGAGAGAGUGAUCGGCCACACUGGAACUGAGACACGGUCCAGACUCCUACGGGAGGCAGCAGUAGGGAAUCUUCCGCAAUGGGCGAAAGCCUGACGGAGCAACGCCGCGUGAGUGAUGAAGGUCUUCGGAUCGUAAAACUCUGUUAUUAGGGAAGAACAAAUGUGUAAGUAACUAUGCACGUCUUGACGGUACCUAAUCAGAAAGCCACGGCUAACUACGUG
rnacentral:rRNA from 1 species